rnacentral:rRNA from 1 species
GCGCACGCAGCGCGGUCUGUCAAGUCGGAUGUGAAAUCCCCGGGCUCAACCUGGGAACUGCAUUCGAAACUGGCAGGCUAGAGUCUUGUAGAGGGGGGUAGAAUUCCAGGUGUAGCGGUGAAAUGCGUAGAGAUCUGGAGGAAUACCGGUGGCGAAGGCGGCCCCCUGGACAAAGACUGACGCUCAGGUGCGAAAGCGUGGGGAGCAAACAGGAUUAGAUACCCUGGUAGUCCACGCCGUAAACGAUGUCGACUUGGAGGUUGUGCCCUUGAGGCGUGGCUUCCGGAGCUAACGCGUUAAGUCGACCGCCUGGGGAGUACGGCCGCAAGGUUAAAACUCAAAUGAAUUGACGGGGGCCCGCACAAGCGGUGGAGCAUGUGGUUUAAUUCGAUGCAACGCGAAGAACCUUACCUACUCUUGACAUCCAGAGAACUUUCCAGAGAUGGAUUGGUGCCUUCGGGAACUCUGAGACAGGUGCUGCAUGGCUGUCGUCAGCUCGUGUUGUGAAAUGUUGGGUUAAGUCCCGCAACGAGCGCAACCCUUAUCCUUUGUUGCCAGCGGUUAGGCCGGGAACUCAAAGGAGACUGCCAGUGAUAAACUGGAGGAAGGUGGGGAUGA